rnacentral:rRNA from 1 species
UACGUAGGGUGCAAGCGUUAAUCGGAAUUACUGGGCGUAAAGCGUGCGCAGGCGGUUAUGCAAGACAGAUGUGAAAUCCCCGGGCUCAACCUGGGAACUGCAUUUGUGACUGCAUAGCUAGAGUGCGGCAGAGGGAGAUGGAGUUCCGCGUGUAGCAGUGAAAUGCGUAGAUAUGCGGAGGAACACCGAUGGCGAAGGCAAUCUCCUGGGCCUGCACUGACGCUCAUGCACGAAAGCGUGGGGAGCAAACAGG